rnacentral:tRNA from 14 species
AGCCAAAAAAUGGAUUGGAAAUCCAUUCAGUCAUCCAAGCUUGAUGGUUGCUGUUGAGUACUUUGGUACCUUUUUUUUAAAUUUUGUCUUUUUCUUUUUCUUCUUCU